GCCAACCUGACAUUGUCUCCCGCCUCUUCUCUCACUAAAAAAAAUGAGCCCCAAUUUUCUUUUCUCAUUUCCCUCCUCCAUACCCCAAAACCGAAAUCCUCAUUUCUCAGCAGAGCUGCGUUUGGGUUUCCACAAAUCCCCAUUUCUCUCAUUUCCCUAAAUCCCUAAAAAUCGUUUUCCCCCAAAUUACUCUGCUGCCUCAUGCACCCUGCCUGGAUGCUCACCCUACCUGUGAAGGUUCUCUCCCCUUCAUCUCUCUAACUUUGCUCUCUUAGCUCUCUUUCUCCCUCACCAAUGUUUGAAUUUAAUCUGAGAAGGAAGCAGCUUCAGCUGGGGCGAAAUUGAUAUGUUUUCCAAAAAAUUGCACAUUCGUUGGUGCCAAGGAGGGAGAAAGUCUCAAAAUAGCAGAACCUUUAGAUGGACCUAUAAUGAAACGAUAUUGUUCUCUAGCAAGUGUCCUAAUGUUAUCAAUUGGUUGUAGAGAAUCAAGUAUUUGGUUAUCACUUGGAGGAUUCUAAGAGAAAGGACCUGGUGAGCAACAUUUGUGUAAUACCCAUGUUGUAAUUGAUGACAACGGGAACAUUAAAAGCACUUACAAGAAGAUACAUUUGUUUCUGUUUUCUCUACUGUUUCUGGAUCAUAUAUAUAAUAAGGAGACUUUGGAAAAGAUUAGCCAGCAACUAGAAGCUUAAAGCUUGGUCAGAUGAUUCUUGAAUUUUUAACUAUGUAAGGGUGCUAAGGAGAAAGUAAAAGAAAGGGAAGAGUUCACACAAAAUCCUGGGCAGUCAAAAUGCAAGUAUUAUUUGAGGUCAGGGGGAUGUAAAUUUGGAAAAGCAUGUAAAUAUAAUCACACUAAAGGACAGACUUCUGCAGCACCAUUAGCACCAGUUCUAGAGUUUAACUUUGCUGGUCUUCCAAUCCAAGGUGAGAAAGAAUGUCCAUAUUACAUGCGAACCAGGGAGGCGAUGUUACUCUUGGCGAUGGAUGAGGUGUAGAAUCGAUUUAUGGUGCUAAAUUUGUAGAUGAAAACUUCAAACUAAAACACAUUGGACCAGGGAAGUUAAAAAGGCCUUCUCCUUGACCCAUUUCUUCUUUUAUUCUAAAAUGGUGAUUGUUCAAAAGAUAACCCAAAACCCGGGGAACUUCUUAUUAUCAUUACUAAAAUUUCUCUUUAUGUUCACCAUUAGGAAUUAUAUCAAUGGAAAAUGUUGAACCAGACACUAAUGGUUCCCAAUUCAUCAUUACUACUAUCAAGACCAAUUGGUAAGUGGUAACUAACAGUGUUUAUAAUUGUUAAAGCAUCAUGUUUUGGUUCCAAACGGAGUGAACCCCUAGAGACCUUGAAGGAAACGGUAUGGAGCUACCAGUUCCGGUAGUCUUUCUCUUUAGAUUACUCUUAUAUCUUUGGUAUUUUAGGGCUCUUUUGUUGUAGCUUCUGUUUUAUUUUUGAUAUUUGUAUGUGGGUUUUGUUGUUAAUUGAUUUGGGUUUACCUUGAAAUUUCUAUGUUCUGUUUUCAAUAGGGAUAGUCAGUAAUAUUUCUUAUUGUAUCGUUAAUACUUGGUUUGAUGUGACCAAAAACUUUUCUAAUUAUUGCAUCAUUAAUACUUAGUGUUCUAUUUUGUCUCUCCAUCUUUUUACUGUCAUUUUUUUAAAAUAAUUUACACACAAUGGUUAAGAUUUUUUUUUUCAGAGUUAAACAACUUACCUUGUUUGAGGAAGUACACUUCAAUUCUAAGUGCAUUUUGUUUGCUUUGUUGCUAAAAUUCAAUUAAUACACUGUUUCAUAUUGCAUUUUCACAGAUCAAAAACUCACAAGCCAGGUCCAUGAAAUUGUUGGACGAAUUAACGGCAGAUUUGGAACAUUGACAGCUGUUCCAAUACAUCACUUGGAUCGCUCUCUUGAUUUCCAUGCUUUAUGUGCUCUAUAUGCUGUCACAGAUGUGACAAGCGAAAUAGAAAAUGAUACUUAAUUUUGAAGGCUUUAUGUUGGGCAGCUGCAGAAUAUUUUGUGCUGAAAGUAGUAGAAUAUGUUGAAUAUUUAAGACUACUUGAAUACUUAAAGAACAUUUUGUCGUUGAUGACAGUGUUUAAUGUUUUAAACUAAUUUGUGGAUUGUUAAAACAAUGUUGAAUGUUUUAAACUAAUUUGUGGAUUGUUAAUACAAUGUUGAAUGUUUUUACUUUUUGUUAUUUGAAAAUCAAGUUCAUUUGA